UGGCUCAGUUGCUAGAGCAUGGCGUUCGUAACGCCAUGGGUCGUGGGUUCGAUUCCUGC
rnacentral:tRNA from 1 species